rfam:Glossina brevipalpis unplaced genomic scaffold Scaffold97, whole genome shotgun sequence.
GAACAAUGGCUUUCGGUGACUAUCCGGCUGAAUAUAAUCCUAAAGUGCAUGGGCCAUACGAUCCAGCACGAUAUUAUGGCAAACGUGAGUGUCUUA